rnacentral:rRNA from 1 species
GCUUGUCUCAAAGAUUAAGCCAUGCAUGUCUCAGUACUUGCUUUAACAAGGCGAAACCGCGAAUGGCUCAUUAAAUCAGCUAUGGUUCAUUAGAUCGUAUAUCUUACAUGGAUAACUGUGGUAAUUCUAGAGCUAAAACAUGCAUUCAUUCCUUGCCCUCGUGGUGCGGAAGCAGUUAUUUUCUCAAAACCAAUCGGGCCUUCGGGUUCGUUAAUUGGUGAUUCUGAAUAACCGAAGCGAAGCGAAUGGUCUCGUCCCGUCGCUAGAUCUUUCAAGUGUCUCACUUAUCACCUUGUUGUUAGGUUAUGUUCCUAACAAGGCAGUUACGGGUAACGGGGUGUCAGGGCCCGACAUCCGGAGAGGGAGCCUGAGAAACGGCUACCACAUCCAAGGAAGGCAGCAGGCGCGCAAAUUACCCACUCCCGGCACGGGGAGGUAGUGACGAAAAAUAA